UCGCAUCUGUGCAUGCAGCAUAUCAAUAAGCGGAGGAAAAGAAACUAACAAGGAUUCCCCUAGUAACGGCGAGUGAAGCGGGAAGGAGCUCAAAUUUGAAAUCUUAAAGGGUUUCCCUUUACGAAUUGUAGUUUAAAGAAGUGUUUUCUGUUGAGGUUUUGGUAAAAGUUCUUUGGAAUAGGACAUCAUAGAGGGUGAGAAUCCCGUAUUUGACCUUUACUUUCAACUUUGUGAUACACUUUCAAAGAGUCGGAUUGUUUGGGAAUGCAGUCCAAAAUGGGUGGUAAAUUUCAUCUAAAGCUAAAUAUUGGCGAGAGACCGAUAGCGAGCAAGUACCGUGAGGGAAAGAUGAAAAGAACUUUGAAAAGAGAGUUAAACAGUACGUGAAAUUGUCAAAAGGGAAGCGUUUGACACCAGUGUUGUUUUUCUGAAAAUCAAUUAAAGAACUGUUUAUGCUAAGUUGUUUAGACUUUAUCAGCUAAUCUGCUUAGUUUUGAGCUUUUCUUUAAUGCACUUUUACAGUUAACAAGUCAACAUCAAUUUCUUUUGCUGUAAAAAAGCUUGAGGAAGGUGGCUUGAGAUUCGUCUUAAGUGUUUAUAGCCUCUUGCCUAUGCAGUCGGAGAGAUUGAGGUCCUGCAGCGUAGAUCCUUCGGGGCUAAAUGCAUUUGUGCUAAGUUAUAGCAUUUUAUAGACAACUUGUUGACUAUGAUUUGUCUUGUAGCUUACUCGCUUAUGUUAUUUUACCUACGCUUAGGAUGUUGACACACGCGCGUGCUCGACUCUAUACAUGACUCCGUGCAUAUCAAUAAGCGGAGGAAAAGGUACCUACGCUUAGGAUGUUGAACGCGCACAGAGUCUC
rnacentral:rRNA from 1 species